GCAUAAACUUAAGUUGACUUGGUGGAUGAUCUCUUAUGAGGUUUCAUGACAGAUGCCAUGUUCAAUGUGUCUCUAUGCUAAGAGUAAAAUUUCCCUCGUCAUGGAACAGUCAUUAC